CUGAAAUCACGGAAGCGUAUAAGUGUUACAGUCGGUGUUUUUACUGCUAUUGUCAAGUUUUAUGGGGGUUAUUAUCAGAUUAACGGUUCUUUUAAGAUAAAGAACACUCAAUUAUGUAACACUUAGGACAAACUGGCACAAAGAUCAAUGAUUAUAACGAUAUAUAAGGCGGCUACUCUUUAAUCAAUACCAUGAACACCAGACUGCUGCUGAGGCGAUGCAGCUUCGGAAGGAUAUGGCGGCUGCCAGCAAAUCAUCAAUCUCCAUUGAUGUUAACAUUAUUAGAUAAGUUUGGUUAUAUGUGAUUGUUUAUCAUGUGCAAACCAAUGUUUUUAUGUAUAAAUAAAGCUUAUUAAGACUUA